GACGUAGGGCGCGAGCGUUGUCCGGAUUUAUUGGGCGUAAAGAGCUCGUAGGCGGUCUGUUGCGUCCGCUGUGAAAACUCGGGGCUCAACCCCGGGCCUGCAUUCGAUACGGGCAGACUAGAGUUCGGUAGGGGAGUCUGGAAUUCCUGGUGUAGCGGUGAAAUGCGCAGAUAUCAGGAGAACACCGGUGGCGAAGGCGGGACUCUGGGCCGAUACUGACGCUGAGGAGCGAAAGCGUGGGGAGCAAACAGG
rnacentral:rRNA from 1 species